rnacentral:lncRNA from 10 species
UUGAGAUUACAGAUAACAAAUGAUUCUAUUUAGGGCUAAAGAUAAAUACAGCAGUCCUCCGCACUCACAUUUUCUGAGGUUUCACUUACCCAUGGUCAACCAUAAUUGAAAAUAUUAAAUGAAAAGUUGCAUAAAUAAACAAUUCAUAACUUUUAAAUUGUGUGCUGUUCUGUGUAAUGCAAUGAAAUCUCACACUAUCCCAUUGUUAAGGCUUUUUCACUCCCGUAGUUCGGUGAGCAGGAGGAAGUAGCACCCAACGGCUUCUUCUCUACCGUUGUUUGGGGAGUUGGAGGGAGUGUUACAGCUCUUUUAACUCCCACCACCCGCUGCUCAGCAAGCAGGAGCACUACACCUCUUUUGCUCCCGCAAUUUCGGGGAGUUCCAGGUUCCUGUCCUGUAACCAGAAGGAAUAAGGAAUUCCUGCAAAAAGUAAUAAACUAAAAGAAAACCUAAAGGGUAUAAAUGUAAAAUUAAGUCCUUUUACUCUCUCCAGUUGAACUACCUAGAGAAAACCAUUUUAAAUCACAAUUUCAGAAGAUUUUAAAAAUUCAACUCUACCUAAAGACAUCAUAAAAUGGCUCAUUAUUCCAUCAUCCAGGUCAUAUCGUCUAAUAACAGAAAUCAGAGAGAAGUACCAGGAUCAUAAUUACAGAGAGAAGUUUGACCAAAUCCCUUUCUGUAAAAAUGUUAAAUAUAAAUAUAUGUCUUCUAUGUUUUUGUCCUAACCCUAAAUACUAAAUAUUUACUGGGAAGUCUCUUAAUCUGUGAAAGACUGCAUUCAUUUACAUUAAAUAAAAUAUGGGAAUUGCUAAAUUUUAAAUUCAGUAUUCCCUAUGAAAAACUAAACUUAGGAAAAGUAAAUUUUUUAUGAAUUUUGCCACAACUGCUCAUUUGGGGAAUAAAAAUCAGAACUCUGAAAUUUUAGCUUUAAAAACCAAUAUUGUCUUUGAAAGCUAAUGAUCAAGUGAUGAUUUUGUUUUCUAGCCAUUUAAUAAUAACCUUGGCGUUCUUUUUCGGGUUCAUAUGCCUUGCACAAUCUUUGACCAAAACCAAAAUUCUCACCUACUUUCUAUGUAAUAAAUCAUUAGGAAUUAUGAAAAAGAGAGAAAAGAAUUAACGUUAUCCAAGUUUAUAACUAUUGGAUGGGCAUUCUGCUAGAAUGCUUCUUAUGCUUUAUGCUUCUUAUCAUAUUAAUGCUCCAGUAUUAUAUACGAUAGAAAAUAAAAGUUAAUCUAGUAAUAUAUAAUGUUAAAUUCAACUAAAUUUGGCCUGAGGAUGUCUCCAAACGUGUGUUCUUCCUUAAACAACUGGGCUGGAACUUAGUACAUAAGCUAACUAAAAGCCUAACCUAGGAGUGCAAUUUUGUAACAAAUAGCUGAAUCUCAGCCAAUCAUAGCAGCCGAGCUUUAGUCAAUUGCAAGCUGCCAAUUGUUCAAACCUGCUCAAAUAAGACAAAGGCUGCUGUAACCAACUGAGCUGUCUUGGUAUGUCACUUCUGUUUUCUGUGUUCUGUCCAUAAAUGCUGUCUGAUCACAUGGCAGACUGGAGUUCUUUGAACCUGUUCUGGUUCUGAGGGCUGCCAGAUUCUAGAGGCAUGAAUAAAAAUAAAUUAAGACUGUUAAACUGAAUUUGUGGUAAUUUUGUCUUGUAAAGUAAUAAUGGUAUUUUUUAAAUGGUUUGAAAAAAAUUAAAGAGUUUCACCCUAGAUUUCUAAAAUGCGGUCUCUCAGCA